rnacentral:rRNA from 1 species
GAUUAAAUAUUUAUAGGAUAGAGAUGGGCUCGCGUGACAUUAGCUAGUUGGUAGGGUAACGGCUUACCAAGGCGACGAUGUCUAGGGGCUCUGAGAGGAGAAUCCCCCACACUGGUACUGAGACACGGACCAGACUCCUACGGGAGGCAGCAGUAAGGAAUAUUGGUCAAUGGGCGGAAGCCUGAACCAGCCAUGCCGCGUGCAGGAUGACUGCCCUAUGGGUUGUAAACUGCUUUUGUCCAGGAAUAAACCUAAAUACGUGUAUUUAGCUGAAUGUACUGGAAGAAUAAGGAUCGGCUAACUCCGUGCCAGCAGCCGCGGUAAUACGGAGGAUCCGAGCGUUAUCCGGAUUUAUUGGGUUUAAAGGGUGCGUAGGCGGCCUAUUAAGUCAGGGGUGAAAUACGGUGGCUCAACCAUCGCAGUGCCUUUGAUACUGAUGGGCUUGAAUCCAUUUGAAGUGGGCGGAAUAAGACAAGUAGCGGUGAAAUGCAUAGAUAUGUCUUAGAACUCCGAUUGCGAAGGCAGCUCACUAAGCUGGUAUUGACGCUGAUGCACGAAAGCGUGGGGAUCGAACAGGAUUAGAUACCCUGGUAGUCCACGCCCUAAACGAUGAUAACUCGAUGUUGG